rnacentral:rRNA from 1 species
AUUGAACGCUGGCGGUAGGCCUAACACAUGCAAGUCGAACGAGUGGCGGACGGGUGAGUAAUGUCUGGGAAACUGCCCGAUGGAGGGGGAUAACUACUGGAAACGGUAGCUAAUACCGCAUACCAUCGGAUGUGCCCAGAUGGGAUUAGCUAGUAGGUGGGGUAACGGCUCACCUAGGCGACGAUCCCUAGCUGGUCUGAGAGGGUGACCGGCCGCACUGGAACUGAGACACGGUCCAGAAUCCGACGGGAGGCAGCAGUGGGGAAUAUUGCACAAUGGGCGCAAGCCUGAUGCAGCCAUGCCGCGUGUAUGAGGGAGGCCUUCGGAUUGUAAAGUACUUUCAGCAGGGAGGCGUUACUCGCAGAAAAAGCGCCGGCUAACUCCGUGCCAGCAGCCGCGGUAAUAC